UACGAAGGGGGCUAGCGUUGCUCGGAAUCACUGGGCGUAAAGGGUGCGUAGGCGGGUCUUUAAGUCAGGGGUGAAAUCCUGGAGCCCAACUCCAGAACUGCCUUUGAUACUGAAGAUCUUGAGUCCGGGAGAGGUGAGUGGAACUGCGAGUGUAGAGGUGAAAUUCGUAGAUAUUCGCAAGAACACCAGUGGCGAAGGCGGCUCACUGGCCCGGUACUGACGCUGAGGCACGAAAGCGUGGGGAGCAAACAGG
rnacentral:rRNA from 1 species